UGGGAAUGUGAAGGGACUUUUCUAUGAUAUCUUCCAACUCAUUUAUAUGACAUUAGUUAUUUUUAUUUAUGAGGUAUUGUAUUUUAUCAUUUGCUGCAUCAUAUUUUUAUGAUUAUGAUAAGCCCCAUAGAUUAGGGCAAUGAUUUUAGGAUCAUGAUGAGAUCAUGUCAGUGAAAUCUAAAAUCUUGAUAGCCUCAAUCUAAAAUAUUUUUAGUCAUUAGAUUAUCGAGUCGGAGAUCGAUGAUAUCGAUAAGACUGGUACAUCCUAUGUAUAC
rnacentral:lncRNA from 1 species